CGCUGCUGCACUCCAGCCUGGGUGACAGAGUGAGACCCUGUCUCAAGAGAAAAAGUUAUCACUUUGUCCUUUCAACAAGAAAAAUCUGUACAAAUGCAAAAUCAAUGACUUUUCUUGGACCCAUCAGAGAAUUGAGGUUGAAGGGCAAACCACCACCCUAAAAUCUGGAGAAACAGGGCUAUCUAAAGAGAGACAGCCAAAAUCUGCUUAUCUGGAGCAAAAGCUACUGGAGCCAUAAGCUAGUUAGAAACACUUAGAUGGCAAUGAAUUGCUAGCGGCUGAGUGUGGGUGAGCGUGAGAGUGAGAAGUCCCUGGGGAUCACAGUGUUAAGAGGGGUCUCCACAAGUUCGUGGGCUUCACCUCCAAGAAUCCCACCACAUUUUCAGUGAAGAUCUAGUAAGAUGUGUGGCUCUGACGUGGAAAAGGGAUUAAUAAUCAUUAUGAAAUAAUGUCCAAAACCUUUAUUACGAAGGCUUACUCUCCAGGGUGAAAGACUCCCAGAGCCUAUCCCAGUUGGGGGAAGGGCGUUCUUCCCACUCUAGCCCCCCUCUAGGCUUCCUGUCUUACUUACAUGGGGCAGGGAUGGGAACUUAGUCAAGAGGGGUCAGGAUUUCAAGGAAAUAGACUGGAAAUGCUGCAGCCAGGGAAGGGAGUAGGGGGCCAGAAAGGAAACGCUCUACCACUGGAAAAACACUUGUGAAGCUCACAGGCCCACUAAGACACAGAUUUAAUCUGAAGAUUAUAGAAUAUCCCACUUCCCACACUUUACCACCGCACCAGUGGGAUUCGAGUGUAAUCGUAGUGGAUUACAGCUGGAAGUCCCCCUUUGUGGAGGAGUAAUUAGGGAAACCCAAAGUUAAGAGACAGGCAAAAGCAAAGACACUAGAGGAAGGUGAAGCCUCUGGCACCUGUAACUACAGCAAACAUUAAACAUAGUCCGUCCUCCAGCAAGAUUACCAUGAACCUUCACACUUAAGGCCUGUCUACCUCAGUUUCUAUUACCCAGUGCAACAUACCUGGCUUUCAACAAAAAAUUUGAAGGCAUGCCAUGCCAAAAAGCAAGUAAAAACAGUUUGAAAAGAGAAAGCAAUCAGAACCAGAGUUGGAUAUGACACAGAUUCCCUGUUUGAUAAUUAUAACCUAACAUAUUAAAAGUUGUAAUGGAAAAAGUAGACGUGCAAGAAUAGAUGGGUAAUCAGAGAGAUGGAAACUCAAAAGGAAAUGCUAAAAAUCAAAAUCACUAUAAUAAAAAUGAAAAAUGUUUUUGAUGGACUCAUAAAUAGACUUGACAAAUUUAGGAAACAAUUAGUGAAUUUGAAGGUAGGUCAAUAAGAACUUCCCAAACUGAAAUGGGAAGAGAAAGAGUAGGAUAAAAACCCAGACCAUCCAAAAACUGGGAUCAUUUCAAAAGGUAUAGCAAAUGUGUAAUUGGAAUACCUGAAAGAGAGUAGAGCAAAAAAAUAUAUACAGUUGAACAAUGCAGGGGUUAGGUGUGCCAACCCUGCAUAUAGUUGAAAAUUUGCAUAUAACUUUUGACUCCCCCAAAAUUUAAUAGCCUAGUUUUCCAGAAGCCUUACUGAUAAUAUACUUAACACAUAUUUUGUAUGUUACAUGUAUUGUGUACUGUAUUCUUAAAGUAAGCUAAAGAAAAUGUUACUAAGAAAAUCAUAAGGAAGAGAAAACAUAUUCACUAUUCAUUAAGUGGAAGUGGAUCACCGUAAAGGUCUUCAUCCUCAUCUUCAUGUUGAGUAGGCUGAGGAGGAGGAAGAGGAGGAAGAGGAGGGGUUGGUCUUGCUGUCUCAGGGGUGGGGAGGCAGAGAGGUGGAGGAGGUGGAAGGGGAGGCAGGAGGGACAGGCACAUUCUGUUACUUUUAUUGAAAAAGGCUACGUAUGAGUGGGCCUGCGCAGUUCAAACCUGUAUUGUUCAAACUGUCUACAUGUUUGAAGUAAUAAUGGCUGAGACCUUUCCAAAAUUGGUGAACCAAACCACAGAUCCAGGAUGCUGAGAGAACACCAAGCGGAAUAAAUUUAAAAAGAAUAACCUUGUUGGUAAAAAAAAAAAAAAUAACAAAAACACCUAGGGAUGUCAUGUAUGUCACGUUCAAACUGCAAAAAACCAAAGACCAAGAUAAAAUCUUGAAAGAAGUCAGAGAAAAAAGUAAAAUAAGGGACUGCUGGCUUGACAGUUUGUAAGUAUCUUUUAUCACUAGUCUUGAGAACAGAGGUGGUAAUAUUUUAUAAUACCUGGAGUCUAAUUUGAAUGGGAAAACGGUGUAUCUUUAAUAUUUUUUUCUUCUGCUCUAAGGAAGAGAGUUAGGGGGUCAUAUUUAAUAUUCUGUAACUGAAAUUAAUUAUUUCUUCCAUUAUGAAUGUGGAAGUAAACCAGAGUAUUAGUAGAAGCAGGACUUUUGACUGUCACCAAUUAGAAAAUGCAAGUAUAUUAAUUAUAUCACAUUUGUUGUUGCAAAUCUUGGAAUACACUGAUCACUGCUUGAAAAUUAUUGUAGUUAUCAGACUCACUCCCUGAUCUUGUUUAAUUUUUUUUUUUUUUUUUUUUUUUCAGACAGGGUCUCACUCUGUCACCCAGGCUAGAGUGCAGUGGUGCAAUCUCGGCUCACUGCAGCCUCCGCCUCCCGGGUUCAAGCGAUUCUCCAGCCUCAGCCUCCCAAGUAGCUGGAACUACAGGCACACACAUGCCUAAUUUUUUGUUUUGUUUUGUUUUUCAGUAGAGUCAGGGUUUCACCAUGUUGGCCAGGCGGGUCCCAAACUCCUGGCCUCAAGUGAUCCGCCCUCCUCGGCCACCCAAAGUGCUGGGAUUACAGGCGUGAGCCACCGCACCCAGCUUGUUUAACAUUUUCCAAAGAAGCACAUAUUUUAUCACAAGUUUUAAAAAUAUUUUAAUAAACAUACUUCAAUAAGUUGGUUUCUUUUAUAAUCCCAUGUAUUUUAUUUUAUACUUUUACAAACAGAUAUUUGAGUAGGGAUCUUUACAAACACGUUUAAGAAGCCCUAAUGUAAAAACUCUGAAUGCUCCUGUCACAGAGUAAGAUCUGAAGUGCCUGGAGUUAGUCUGACGUGGAACAGGUUCACUUGGUGGUCAGGUGUGUGUGCAAGGGGGAGCAGGAGCAGGAGAGACAGAAAGAGAUUGGUGAUCCGACCACCUAUUGAGUGUUUAGGUUUCGGUGUAGGCUUUUACAUGUAUUACCUCAUUUAAUUCUCAAAACAACCCUAUUGGAUGGGUAUUAUCUUCAUUUUACCAAGAGAGGAAAUGGGACAGAGUUUAAUUUGUCCAAGGUCACACAGCCAGUAAAAAGUACAAUUGGGAUUUAAACCCAAGUCUUUGUGAUUCUAAAACCUGCACCUGUGCGAUGGAUGCUGCCUCCAAGCUGGACCGUGUGCAGCUUGGCCAAGGCCCAUGCCGAACACUCGCCCUGACAGCUGCUGCCUGCAGACUCCUGGACUCUACACCCGUCGUGCUCACACAGUUGCCUUGGUGCCAGUGUUAUCAAAGAGGCCAACACGAGCAGAGGCUCACGUUGAGCUAAAGAAAAAUUAAACAUUUAAGAGAAUUCAGUUAUAAAGCUGGAAUGGCCGUUCCUGCUUGACAGAUGUAAACACUGCAGCUUUGUCAUUACUUAGCUAGUUGUCUCAGCACAUGUCCUUUCCUUUCUAGCUAGAUUAUACUUUAAUCCAGUUGUUUUCAUGUUCACUAAAUCCAAACCAUGUUUAACCGGUUUAUUCAUUGGAGAGUCUCUGAGGUGAAGAAAGUUUUGUCCUUUCAACUUCACUGGGGAUUUGCUGUCUUCUUUCUGCAAAGGGAUUUUCCUGAAUCUGUAAUCUGAACACUUUGACCUGUGAGGGUUUUUCCCCCAACUAGGAGCAAAUCUGUGAGGCUUGACCCUUUGUGUGCUGUGGAGCAGAGACAAUGCCCUUCUGUGAAUGUCUUCUCCUCUUGAGGACAGUAGUAAUUGGCGACAGGAAUGUUAAUCAUUUGGCAAGCGCUUCUUCAUGGCCUUGCUGCCCUUUGCCACUGCAGCCAGCUCCCUGCUUGCCUCUACUCCCUCGAGAAUGGAGCCGCCAUUUUGUAGCAGCUUUCUAGAGAAGUUUUUUUCAAGAGCACUUUGAGAGUUGACAGUCUGACUUAAACUGAGGUCCAUGAAAGCUGGGUUCAGCCAGAGCAGGGCAGAGGAUGGCCAGAGGAGAAGAGGGCAGAGAGACGAUGGGAAGACAAGACGACCCUCUCUGCUGAGAGCUUCAGAGACCUGCAGAGACAUCCAAAUGACCUGCCUGCAGAGAGGAGCCAACCCCUCCAGGGCCUCCUCUCUGCUGAGAGCUGAACACUCCAUGGGAUGAUCUGCCUGCAAAGAGGAGCUACCCACUGUGGGUCUCCUCUGAGCUGUUUUAACACUAAAUAAAACUCUUCAUCUUCUUCACCCUUCA